GUCCCGGUACCCCAACGGCAGAGGGAGUCGGCUCAAACCCGAUCCAGUGUGGGUUCGAAUCCCACCCGGGACA
rnacentral:tRNA from 2 species